AUGAAUCGCUGCUUCAAUCGAUCUUUCUUCCCAUUUCUUCCGUCAUCUCCGCCACCUUCUUAUGUCUCCCUUCCCUAUCUCAAUCUCUCUUCAUUUCUGUCAGCACGUCGCCGCGGCCACCACCGAUUACCACCACGAAUGGCCACGUCUCGUCUUUAUCUCACAUACUCCUCAUCGCUUGCGAGUCAGAGCCUCACAUUCAUAGAUCUUAACCUUCUUUCCGCAUCUAAUAGGAAAACUAGACCUACGAAGCCGAGAAUUGUAUUUAUUACUUCCACAACAUCAAUUCUUUUUCUCUUCUCUGAUUCCUUGCACUUUUUGCAUUUUCUAUGA